UGCUGCGCGAGACGCGGAGACGCGGAGGGAGGGCAUCGGACGUCGGCAAAGUCUCCCACCCUGAUAUUUUGUUUUUUUAUUCAAUAAAUAUAUUUGUUUGACAGGGAAGCUGUGCGCAAAGAGGAAUACAUUCAUAUUUAUAUAUUUUGUUACAGAUUUGGCGAAAACAACUUCCAGAAGAAAAUGGGGGGAACAGAAAGUAUAGUUGAGACAGAGGGAGAAAUGGAUAGAAGAGCGGUGGAACUGGACAAAAGGGAGGUGGAACUGGAUAAAAGGGAGCUGGAACUGGAAAAAAAGGGCAGUGGAAGAGAAUGAAGGCUGAAGCAAUGAAUCCUGUGCAACACAACAUCAAAGAAUCAGAGAAGCCUAACAAUCGCGGUGGCUGCUUCAUUAAAAUGGACCAAGCUAACAUCAACUGUAACGACUGUCAGGUUUGCGGUCCAAUUGCCGUUUCCUCUCUAGAAUCCACUGAUCUCGGACAAUUCUGUUGCUGCUGACCAUUUGGACUGUUACUGGUGCUGGAGUUGUGCACCAGUGAACACCUGCCUGAUUCUGAUCAUUUGAUUGCCCAGGACUCUGACCCCUGCCUGCCUGCCCAUUCUCCUCUCUACUGUCCAGAGCUGAUUCUUCAUCAAUUCACAUCAAGUUACAGUACAAUGUGAAAUCGUAAUUGAAGAUAAGAGGGUGCUAAAAGGGUGGCACCACAACUUCAAAAGUGGUGGAGCAAAAUGUUGUGAUUUUGGGGUGUAGUGGGGAAUAUUAUUUUGUGAUUCUGAACGCUUUACAACAAGGUUACCUCAAAUAACAAAAAACUCCUGUACACUUCUCAUCAGAGCUAAUUACAAAACACAGUGCCUCAGGGCUUUAAUCCAACUCUACCUCAAAUUUCUUUAUAGAGAACCCCUGCCCCAUUUUUACCCAAAAUGGGGUGAUGUGAGCAUAAUGGGGCACUAAAAACACUCAUGUAAUAUGUGUUUCGUUCAUACUGGUAGCCGGAGGCGCCCUCAUGCCAAAAAAUCCAAGACUCAGAAAUAAUAAUACUUUGUGAGGUUACAAGAAAUCCUUUAUAUGGACAAAGGCAUCCAGCUUUCACAGCUCAAUAUAGCAGAUAGAAAUAUUUUGACUGAUAAAACAACAGGAAAUAAACACACGAUUGUGAGAGUGUAUGGUUUAUGUGCUUUUCAAGCCAUCUCGGGUAUUUUCAUAAGAAUCUUAAUUCUUAAUGUUAUAUUAUAAUGCAGUGCUAAUUGACAAUUUUUACUUAACCAUUGAUGGCUUAUUUUGAUUUAAUUCUGUCAGCUUCAGUCUAGCAAGAUGUUCCACUCAAUGUUAUGUGUAGCUAAACAUUAACUAUUGGCUGUAGCCUGCAUCCACCAGUUCACGAAGGGAGUAUGCAUUACUUCAGGAACUACGGUGGACUUCAUAUAGCAUGAAUUGCUGCCAACGCUCAACUGGACAACAGCCAAAAAUCGAUGUCAUCGCAACACCUCAAUCAUAGCAAGUUAGACUGCAAACCUUUAUGACCACUGCCUGCAUCGCCUCGUCAAUCAAUAUGGUAAUAUCCUUACAGAUACUUAAGGGGAUAGUUCACCCAAAACUGUUAUUUCUAUCAUCAUUUACUCACCCUCAUGUCGUUCCAAACCUAUAUGAGUUUCUUCUGUUGAACACAAAAGAAGAUAUUUUUAAGAAUGUUGGUAACCAGACAGUUGAUGGUAGCCAUUGACUUCCAUGUUUUUCCUACUAUGGAAGUCAAUGGCUACCAUCAACAACUUGAGGGUUACUGUUUGAUCAAUAUCCUUUAGUUCAUAUGAGCUGAAUUUACCUAAUAUAUGACUUCAGGGCAGCCGUGACCUAAUGACUAGAGAAUCAGACUGGUAACCUGAAGGUCACCGGUUUGAAUCUCAGUACAGGCAUGAAAUAACUGAGACGCUCUCAAGCAACACACUGAACCCCCAAUCGCUCAAUGAGAGCCAC